GUCGAGUCGGCCUGCGCGGAAGAUGUAACGGGGCUAAGCAAUACACCGAAGCUGCGGCAAUGUCUUUUAGACAUUGGGUAGGGGAGCGUUCUGUAAGCCGUUGAAGGUGAAUCGUAAGGUUUGCUGGAGGUAUCAGAAGUGCGAAUGCUGACAUGAGUAACGACAAAGGGGGUGAAAAACCUCCUCGCCGGAAGACCAAGGGUUCCUGUCCAACGUUAAUCGGGGCAGGGUGAGUCGA
rnacentral:rRNA from 1 species